rnacentral:rRNA from 1 species
AUUGAACGCUGGCGGCAGGCCUAACACAUGCAAGUCGAACGAGUGGCGGACGGGUGAGUAAGGUCUGGGACACUGACUGAUGGAGGGGGAUAACUACUGGAAACGGUAGCUAAUACCGCAUACCAUCAGAUGUGCCCAGAUGGGAUUAGCUUGGUGUUGGGGUAACGGCUCACCAAGGCGACGAUCCGUAGCUGGUCUGAGAGGAUGACCAGUCACACUGGAACUGAGACACGGUCCAGACUCCUACGGGAGGAAGCAGUGGGGAAUAUUGCACAAUGGGCGCAAGCCUGAUGCAGCCAUGCCGCGUGUAUGAAGAAGGCCUUCGGGUUGUAAAGUACUUUCAGCGGUGAGGCGUUACCCGCAGAAGAAGCACCGGCUAACUCCGUGCCAGCCGCCGCGGUAAUAC